rnacentral:rRNA from 1 species
GACGAACGCUGGCGGCGUGCCUAAUACAUGCAAGUCGAACGAGUGGCGGACGGGUGAGUAACACGUGGGAACCUACCCAUCAGAGGGGGAUACCACUUGGAAACAGGUGCUAAUACCGCAUACUGAUGGAUGGCCCCGGGGUGAAUUGGCGAGUUGGUGAGGUAACGGCUCACAAAGGCCCCGAUGCAUAGCCGACCGUAGAGGAUGACCAGCAACAGUGGAACUGAGACACGGUCCAGACGCCGACGGGAGGCAGCAGUGGGGAAUAUUGCACAAUGGGCGCAAGCCUGAGGCAGCCAUGCCGCGUGUAUGAAGAAGGCCUUCGGGUUGUAAAGCACUUUCAGCGAGGAGGCGUUACUCGCAGAAGAAGCACCGGCUAACUCCGUGCCAGCAGCCGCGGUAAUAC